UGCUCAAUGCUAAGUGGGUUGGAGAUGACACAGAAAUAUGUCUUGUAGCGCGACGCCCAGAGUCUUGUCCGAUACCGUCAGACAUUUAGAAGGUGAAAAAAAAACUGUUAAUUCACUUCCGCUUGUCUCGGACAACUGGAUCUACACUUGGAGCUGCCUGCAGACAGACGCUAAGAAUCGCCCAGGCCAUCUCCACGGAGGAGAAGAAGUGCAGAUGCCAACCAGUAGAAGCCAUUGUUCUCCGUAACUAGCGUCAGAAACUUCGAAGACCAUCAGACAAAGCCAAAGGCGAGCCGAGCGGGAGGCGGGACGACACGCCACGAAUUGGAAAGAGAAGUUGGUGCCAAAGACGGGGGAAAAAAAACAACAUGUCAGGCGAGUGGAGCUGCACACUCACCACGAUGAGGUUCCACAUGCGAGCUGCCUCAGCCACGAUUGUGGAGACGCCGCUGCAGCCGGGCAUCAGCACGAUCUUGAUGGGCUCCGUGUACAGCAG